rnacentral:piRNA from 1 species
UGAGUGUGAUGGCAGAUGUGAAACUGCUGA